rnacentral:misc_RNA from 1 species
AUCCGGUCCUGUUCUUUCAAAAGUCGCCGAAAUCAAGAUGUCAAAUUCUAGGAAACUUCUUGAGGAGUAAACGUAAGGAACAGAGAAAAACUUCAAAUCUUCUUCAUCUUCAUAUUUAUUUCCCAUUUUUUCAUCUCUAAACAAAGAAGAAGAAGAAGAAGAGAAGAGAGAAAUACCUCCAUCAAUGAUAAAGAACAAGGAGGAGAGAUCAGUCGCCUAUGCUAAACUCAAGCACCUGAAAAAGCUUGAGAAGCGAAAGAAGCUCAAGGCUCAUGAUGCCUCCGAGAAGCGAGCUCUCGAGCUUGCCUCCUCCAAGGCAGACUCCUCGCAACACUGAAAACUCCAGGGAGAUGCAAGCCAGAUGACGAUGAGCUAUUUGCUGAUAAUGAUGCUGAUGAGCUUAGUUCAAUUCUAAGACAUGAAAGAACUCCGAAGAUAUUGAUCACGACUUGCCGAUUCGAUUCUACUAGGGGACCCCUUUUUAUAUCAGAACUGCUCUCAGUGAUCCGGAAUGCACUUUACAAGAAGAGAGGAACUUAUAAUUUAAAAGAUGUGCACUUUAUUAGUUAUUCUCUCUUGUCUAAUAUAAGAUGCCAAGCGUGUAGUUUAGUAGUUAUUAUAUCAUAUCUUAUAUAACGUGCAUAAUAACAUCUGUGCAUAUUGUAAAAUAUGCAAUCAACAUGGACUUUACUGCUAUUAUUGAUGUUCACACUGGCCACAGAGAACCAGGUUAGUUUUUCAGCUUGUAAUUCAAUAUAAGGCCUAUGCUUUCAUGUAUUCUCUCAGACUGUUUCCAUGCUUCCAACUAUUAGAUUAGAAAUGCAUUUCCUUUUAAAUUGCAAUUCUCCCUUAUUGGUACUGUAGCUUUUCACAAGAAUUUUAAUCAAGCUUGUGGCCGUCUUCUAGAUGCUCUCCUGAACAUUUGCUUGCCUGAUGGAGCUACUGCACAUUUCAAGCUCUCUAAUCUUGUUUUGCGCAAGGAUAUUAAGAAUCAUAGAAAUCCUGCCAAUCACAAGCCUGAGCUGGUUUUGACUAUCUUUAUAACCGCUUGGGUCAUUGUGUUGGGAGAAUAAUACGGUCGCUUUUACCACAAGAGCCUAAUUUCCGUGGUUGGCGAGUUGUAACUUUUAACAAUCAACGGGAUUAUAUAUUCUUCCGGCAUCACCAUUGUGCCUCGGCUGUAAAUUAAAGCUUACUGAAAUUAAAAAUUUCACUAAUAAUUUCUUUGUUAUGUCUUUCUGAUAAAUAUAUAACGUCGCACGCUCAGGUACAUCUUUGAAACCAAAGAAUGCAAACAAAAUGAUUCAAAAGGCCAAAAGGGAAAAGAUGCCAAGGGGGAGAAGAUCUCUCAAGAAAAAGUAGUUGCUCGCCUUCAGGAAUGUGGUCCUCAAUUUACACUAAAGUUGAUAAGUCUACAGAAUGGAACCUUUGAUACAAAAAAUGGCGAAUAUAAUAGGUUCACAAGCCGGAAAGGGACACCAGCCAAAGGAGGUUUUUCCUCUGAGUUGCAUCAAAGAUCAUUCAAGUUUAUUUUGUUUGGUGUAGACGUACAACAAGCUAUUUUGGUUAAUAGGGUUGGUGGCUUAACCCAUGAUGUUGAUAUCCUCACUUCAAUUUAGGAGCUGCACUUCAAUUUAUCAGUUUUGAUCAACUGUUCAUUCAGUGAGACACAGAAGUUGCAAUUUUUUUUUUCAUAAUUAUUGUAUUGUUUCCAUAGUAGAUAUUGCCUGUUGCUGGCAGUUAUUCAAAAAAAUACACACAAAAGUCGGUUGUCAUACCUGAUCAAAUUAUUGUCGGUGUGAUGUAUUGAAUAAAGAUAAAGAACCAAUUAUAUUUAUACUAUACAGUUUUAGCUUUUACACUAAAAUAAAAAAGAAUGGGCUAUACAAUAGGAGUAGCUCUCUUCUUUCAAUAACCACUACCAGAAUUUCUUGAUGGAAAUUCCAAGUUUUUUUCCUUGGGUUGUCCAUCCCCUUGGGAUGACUAAUUUAUACAUUUGUUGAUUUCUCUGCACGCACGAGAGAAGAAUUCUUUUUAAAAAAAGGGUUCGGUGUGGAACUUAAAACUUUCAGGUUACAACUAAUUUGUAAGUGUACAAGUAAGCCGAUCUUAAUUGGUAAAAGGGAAACUCUUUUAAUAGGCCUUUGACUUUCUAAGAGUGGGAUCAGAAUCAGAUUGUGCCGUUGCGUUGUUCCUUAGUACUUGUCGUGGGAAUUCUAUACAUGUAAUUUUCCGUGUACCAAAUUCCAUUGUGUAAUUUGACACGAGAGCUUCUUUAUUAGAUGAAGGCAAACCAAUACAAGCACGCUUCCGAAAGCAGUAAUUCGCAUUAUGGAUUGCUCUGGGGGAGCCUUUCUUGUUAGAUAGAUACAGUCCAAGGUAAUGGAGAUCCAACCUAAGCUUUCCAACAAGGACUUGAUUGCCAUGAUGGUGCUGCUAUUCUGUCCGCUCAUUCUGCGUAUAAUCCUCAAGCACAGAGCCCCCACAACUAAAAAUGUAGUCACAGACCACCCUCUGUAGGUGACCAGCUUCCCUCCUACCAACAAAACCUCCCUUCGACACACGCAGGAUUGGCACUCACCAGAAAAUGUAGAAGAAACCAGAGCAUCGAAACCUGACAUCUUUAUCAACGCCAAUAUCAAAAGCAAGAGAAGAUACAUAAAGCAGUUGAAGAAUUGCAGGACCAAUGCAGGAGAGAGGAAAUAUAGAAUUGAUCCUGUAGCCUUUGGUUAGUGUUAAGAGGAUUAUUGGGAGAGAAAUUGGACCUGAGGGUAGCAGGAAUCUCCGGUAACGACUGAAAUGAGCUUCCCCUCUUCUUGAUAUAUCCAUUACCAUAAUGACUAGUGUUGCCAGGUACGAAGCAGUUGCAAAUAGAAAAACUAUGACAUCCACAUAAGGGGGAUAAUUCCCAGGAUAAGUGCUGUCGCAGAAGUAAUGAUAAGGGCAGUUGAUUGGAUCAAAUGUUUCUUCCACUUGCCAUCUAACACAUUUGAAGAAGGUUAUGCGUAUAUCUUCGAAAGCCCAUUCUGGCUGAAAUGCCGGAUUUCCUGGCUGCAAGAGUUGGCUGUUCAUUUUUUAUGGGUUGCUUUACCAUUGGUUCACAGCCUCUUUUCACAUGUAUGUUUAUAUGAAUAAGGUACUGCCUUCUGCCAUUUUUUCAAGCAACGGGCCUUCUUUCUGUUGAAAAGUUGUAGGUAUUGGCGAGAUGGAUAACGAAAUGUCAUCUAAUUUGCAAUCUUUUUUCCUAUUACUUGAUUAUUCUGAAAGAAAGAACCAUCCAUUCGAAUUAGGAUGUGGCUUGUUAAAUAAUCUUUGAUUUAACUUGUUUCAGUGAGGAAAGUUCUAAGCUUUUAAACCUCUUUCGUAGUGAUUAUUUUUAUUUCGGAUUCAUUUGCUCC